rnacentral:rRNA from 1 species
AGUGAACGCUGGCGGUAGGCCUAACACAUGCAAGUCGAACGGCAGCACAGGAGAGCUUGCUCUCUGGGUGGCGAGUGGCGGACGGGUGUGGAAUACAUCGGAAUCUACUUUUUCGUGGGGGAUAACGUAGGGAAACUUACGCUAAUACCGCAUACGACCUACGGGUGAAAGCAGGGGACCUUCGGGCCUUGCGCGAUUGAAUGAGCCGAUGUCGGAUUAGCUAGUUGGCGGGGUAAAGGCCCACCAAGGCGACGAUCCGUAGCUGGUCUGAGAGGAUGAUCAGCCACACUGGAACUGAGACACGGUCCAGACUCCUACGGGAGGCAGCAGUGGGGAAUAUUGGACAAGGGGCGCAAGCCUGAUCCAGCCAUACCGCGUGGGUGAAGAAGGCCUUCGGGUUGUAAAGCCCUUUUGUUGGGAAAGAAAUCCAGCUGGCUAAUACCCGGUUGGGAUGACGGUACCCAAAGAAUAAGCACCGGCUAACUUCGUGCCAGCUGCCGCCGUAA